AUCAAGAUGGAGCAGGGUAUAGAGAAGCCAUUAGGGAUGAUACAGAACACCACCAAAGGGUUAGUAACGGUGGGGAACUGUUUGCACCCCGAAGCCUGAAAGAGUGAAGUAGGGUGGGAUUACCUGGAAAGAGAGAGAGAGACAGAAGGAGAAUGAGAUUGAGGGAAGGGCUGCCUGGCAGGGGAAGCUGACGCCUUCAGGCAAGUGAAGAAGCCAGCCCGCAGCAACUCUGCAGGGAAGAAUAUAGGGAAAUAAACGCCUUCAUCUCUCUCUUGUCCCACCCGCAGAGCUCCUUCUGGGAUUCUCUAUUGGCUGAACUCAGCCAGAAGCUGCCAAGGGAGACCCCCACAACUGGAUGCAGCCCACUGAAGUCAGCUUCCUGGGGUGCGUAGCUGAAGGUAGCAGGGAGCAAAAAGAAUCUGAAGGGGAAGUGAACAAUGUAGAGCGUAUCUGUGCUGAAGACGUAAGGAGAGAGUGGAGGUCAGAAGCUGGCAUGGUCCCUGGUGCAUGUAUCAGCCGCUAAAGCUGGAGUGGAUGAAUCAGAACUUUCCCCAUGGGAGCAUUUAUAAAAAGGGGACACCCAGCGCAGAAGAUGUUUUCCAGGGAGAUCUCGGGGAGCCCAACAAGCCAAGAAGAGCAGAGCAAAGCAUUCCAAGGAAGGACUCUAAGUCUGCAACCGAGCACACACGAGGGUAGCCUACGCAUGUACGUCUUGCAGUGAUGGCAAGGAGCAGGAGAAAGAAAGCCCAUCCAAACAAGCAUAUUGGAAGCCUAUGUAUCCCAUAAGCUGACAUCUUGUUGCCCAAAGCAUGUCAUGUGCGUGGUCCAGAGUCAGUGUUGAAGGGCUCUGCAAAAUCACAUGGUAAAGACUGUGGUUUCAGGGAGGAGUGAAGAUUUGUGCGCAUUGCUCCAAUUGACAACCAUGGCACUAGGCUCAGGCCACACUUCUUCCUAACAAGAGAGCAAGUCAAAGCGUGGUUAGUUAAAGUCCAUACAAAAACUCACUUUAACAGGCCUCCUCUGGAUUGAACAGCUGAUAUUAAGUCAUAAGGUACCACAUCAGAAAGAUACUGGGUAUCUUUGGUUCAGCAAUUCCAUCACCAGGGACUUUUUCAUCCUAAGGAAAUCACUGCACGGUGGACAAAGAUAUAUGCAUAAGGAUGCUCCUUCUGGCCAAAGACCAAAAACAUAACUGGCCAUCAGUAAAAGCCAACACAAGGAAAGACCAUGUGAAUACACAGCAAGAACGUGGUGCUCUGCAAGUCAGAAACAGACCCGUCAUCAGACACCAAAUCAGCCAGCACCUUGAUCUAGGAUUUCUGGCCUCCAAAACAGUGAGAAAAUAAAAUUCUGUUGUUUAAGCCAUGCAGCCUGUUGUAUUUCAUUAUGGCAGCCUGAGCAGAAUAAGACAGGUAUAUACAAAUGCAAAUUCUAUUAAGAAAUCUGUAUCUUUUACCCUAUUGAAGUAAGUUAUACCUCAAUUGAAGAAUAAAUAAAAGAGAAAGAAGGAGCAGCACAACCUUGUUUGUAUUCCCAACCUGGUGAGUGGGUGAUAUAGGUUGCCUCUCACUGUGCCCACUCAGCUGAUGAGAAAAGUGCAGCUUUGAGUGAAGAAGUGACAUGUGGCUAUGGUGGC
rnacentral:lncRNA from 1 species